rnacentral:rRNA from 1 species
UUAGUCUCCGAGGAGGUUAGGUACACCCCUUGGUCAUAGAGCGCUAGCCCCCCUCCUGGGAGUAUGCCCUGUUCAAGUGCCGAGCGCACUGCACAUACGGCAUCGUCAACCCUGUCGAAUAGCUCUUUCUGCUCUAGG